AUUUUUUACUCUUAUCUUAAAAAAAAAUAGAGAGAAUCCUCUCAAAUGCCCCCUUUCCUCCGCCUCAGGUUCGCCGCACCUGCGUCCCGCCGGCGCCACGCCGGCCACCGUACACGGUGGCCGGAAAUUUCGAAAAAGGCAAGUGGGGUGAUGGGACGGUGGCAGAAGCGGCAAGUGGGCAGAGUUGGUGGCGGUGGCAGGUGAGGCGACAGACAUAGGGUGCGGCGGCUAGGGUUAGGAGCUAGGGUUUUUCAUGUUUUUGUUUUUGGGUAUUGGGCUAGUUUUUUUUUUAUUUGGGCUUGUAUUUAGGUUGUUUGGGUUUAAUUGGUUUUAUUUUCUCUGGUGGGCCGAGCAAAUUUGAGCUUCUACAGUAGUAUUAUUGUGGAAUAAACUAAGUGACAAUAAGGUUUGAAUUCAUGAGCACUUGCGUGCUAUUUUUCAACACAAAAGUGAAAAAUUAGAUUGAAGUUCUCGUUCAAAA